GUGCCUAGUGCAAGAGACUAGAAACGUGUGCAUUUACAUAAGGAAAAACAUGGAGAGAGAAGUGUGCAAAUACAGAGAUAGAUGUGUGCAAAUAGUUAGAUCAGAGUGCAAAAGUGUUUACGCAACAUCUCGAGCAACCUUGAUGGAGUGAGUGACAAGCUAAAAAGUUACUGUGUCACAGGUUAUUGACACCGCAGGAUGUCUUACCACGCCCAGCUACGCGACCACGCAAGGUAACGUUCCAUUCCCUCGAGCUAAGUACGGGACUGGAAAACUGGACCGAGAACUCCAGUUAGUGUUCAUGGGUAACACACGGGGGAGAGAAAUGCUCCGUGCCGCUGAGCAGUCUCUCGGAGAACGCCAAAGCACGCAUGCUAUGGGGAAAGGAACUUAGCUCGCUGGGGCAAAGGGAGGUGUGGUCAGUCGCGCACAUGUACAUCGCGACAUGAAUAAUGCAUACAGUAGCGCGCGUGGUAUUGCAUCAUGCGCUGGUCUUGGUAAGAGACCCUAGGAAUAAAAGUGCAAGUUGGCAAUUUACGAUAAAUGGGUAAAAUACAGGAACUAUAAAAGACAACAAGAAGAUUGUGUACUUCAUGGACAGAGUGAAUCCAGAGGGCGCUAGAUUUCCAUAAUCAAGCAUUCUGGGUUCGUAACAAUACCAAUUUGUAAGCAUUGAUGUGGGUAUGGAAAAACAUGAGGCAAAUGCUAGGUUUUUAAAGACUUUGUUGCAAUUUGAAAGUAUGUUAUUUUGAUGGAAAACUUUUGCCAGUCUCUAAACAUUUACUUCAUUUUGUAUAAAUAUAAAGGAGUAUGAUUCAGAUUUGCAGUAAUUACUCGUCUGUUGGUUUGUGUGGUUGGUGUAUCGAAAGAUAUCCUGCAAAAUACGUCAGGAAAAUACAGUUUCCAGAACUACAUCGAUGUACUUGCCCUGCUAAUUUUAUCCUGGUCAACAUGUUUUCCUGGAGAAGCCUUAAUUGCAAGAGCAGGUUUGUCAACCACCCAGGUAUGAACUUUGUAUGAAAUGCUUCAUGUAUGUAUGAAGUCUUGUUUGGUUAUUGUUCCCCUUGCCUUUUGAAGUCAUCCAUUGACCUUGAUCUCAGCCUUCCACACCAGCAGGCUGUGUGGUGGCUAAUUCUGCCUCGUGAUGUCCUGCCAAACACUUCUGUGGGAUGCCAGCGGAAAGCUUCUGACAGUGAGAUGUCUCUCGCUCUGCAGUCAGUUUUGAGGCAGUCUAGCCAUUUCUUUGAUGUCUUCCUCGUGAUUGUGUCCCAUGGCAUGCAUGGGUUCUCCCCUCAUAUGCAAUUCCUGGAUGUCCUUCCCCAUUCUUGUGAUCGUCUUUCCCUUAUGAUAUCAGUUAUUGUUUUGUGCUGGCCAAGUGUGACUCUGACAGUUUGGUUCAGGAUUUCGUCGAGUCUUGAGACCCCCAUGAUUUUAGUUUUAAACUAAAUAUUUUACGUAGCCUCGCAAGUAUUUUUAGCUACCAAAACUAAUCUAUGUUGCAUUAUUGUCUCAUUCUUUAACAGGACAGGACCGGAGUUACUUUUUCCCUCUUGAAAUUCAUUGAAAGCCUUUUAUCAGAACCACAAGAAGAGGAACACGUGUUGCAGAAGUUGCUUGUGAUGGCCAACAUUCUACAUCAGUUGUCCUGGUCAUCCAUGGCACUUCUCAUAUCUGGGGACCUAGGAUGGGCAUUAGGAUCAACUAUGCUUAUGGUAGAGUACCUUCUCCCAUCCCAUCUGGCAUCUGCCUGGGAGGGAUGCGAGAGCAGGUGGCUGUUGAGGGGGUCGGUAGCCAGAGGAGAGAGCUGCUGUCCAAUUCAAUGAGGCGGUAGAGGUCCUGGUUGCUGACAGCCUAGCUAUAUCGGUUUUCUUGCUCUUACCAAGGAGACAUUGCACUUGAUGCUGGAAUGCCCUGAAACUGCACCACUUUGUGAUGACAUCAACAUCAGAGAAACUAGAUCCAAUGUGUCUUUAGUCUAUUUAGAAUGCACUACACGAAGUCUGUUAAGGGAUGAAAAUUAUAUGGGCAGUUCUAUGCUGUUAGAGACACAAAACCGAAAAUAAAUUAAGGAUCUGUUGAAGUUUAUUUGCUGAAGUGACACAACAUAAAUUGGCGUUUUAAAACUUGAUGACUUAUAGUAAGGACUUUUGAAUUAGUCUUUUGGUAUCUAUUCAGUUCUAUUUUUCUCUCAGUUAUGUUAAUGUUUUGAGGGCGUCUUUGUGAACAUGGCUAUUAUAUUUUUACGCAUGAAGCUCUCUAACUAAUGUCAGUCAUCAUGGAAUUGCCCAUAUACUUCGUAGAACUGUAGAUUUUCUGGUUGCCAAAUUAGUUACUGGGCCCUAUUGUAUUUCUGUUUGUUUAUGUAUUUAUUAUUUGGUAAUGAAUGUUAAGUGAUGUUGGUUGUGAUUGUGCAUUUUAAUGAAUAUUCAUAAGUACCUAAGACAGUUUACCCAUUCCCAUUGGUCGAGAGCCUGUCACGUGGCUGUCCUUGAACGGAUGAUUAAGACAUGGCUAGCUGGUCUUCAAACACUUUUCCAGUGUCACGUGAAAUUUUGACUCCUAUGAAAUCCAGCGCUUUAACCAUUUUAUUGGUUGAACAUUCAUAAUCUUCACGUACUCAUGCGCAAUACUACAUAUGUGAGUCAGUAUUUCAUAGUCCUUAAAUUCACAAUGCACUUGCCACAGCUGCAUCUGUGCGAAAUUAUAUAAAUCUCCAUCAUAUGAAUUGUUUGCAUCUGACUUGCAUUUCUUUUUUUUUUUACUUCUGAACCAAAAACUUAUGAUAUUAUGACCAAAGAGAAACAUGAUUAUAUGAAUUGGAAUAAAUAUGUGCUUGGUUUGUAUUAAACGUGUUUUAUAAGACCGGUUGGAGUCUUGAGGCUGAUAAUUACAUUGGGGUAAUUAUGAGCAUCCCGACUCCAAGCAGUCUUAAACACAGUGUUUAACACCUUCCAAGCACACGUUUAUUCCCUUAUUUAAACCUUGCUCCUAAAAAUUGCAUGAAAUCCAGAAAGUAUUUUGUUGGUAGCUUCUAUUUUGGUAAAAACAAAAUGAGACUGAAUGAAGAGCGCCAUCUAUUGCUCACAAACUGACUGUUUCAUUAAUGAAUAAUGCAUGGUCCACAAUAGCAAGUAAUUUAAACAUAAUGCAUAUGGUAAGAGUGUUUCGGAUAUGGUUUACAUAACGGAAAUGCAAUCAUGAAACCAAAUUUGUCCUAGUCAUCAAACAAGAAAGUUAAACAUCAAUAAAUAAUCAGAAUAUAUCAUUCUGAAGGCUUGUCUUUUUGUAAGGUGCAUUUUGUGAAACUAAAUUCUGAUUUAAGUCCUGGUGGAAGAAUCAAUAGUGGAACAAGAUCUGUAAGUAUUUUUUUUUUUGAAACAAUUUGAAAUUUGAUUGCAUAGAAUCAAGCCAGAUGGCACAAGUAAAAUUGUAGAAUGCCUGUGUAUUUGAAAUUGGUGUGACACUGUUAAACUUCAGUUGUACUAGAAAUUAUUCCUAAUAUAAGAUGUCACUCUGUAUUGGAAUUGGUAGGUUUUUCUUUGUUGUGAAGUGACUUUGAAGGGUAAAUAUGUAUUACAUGCUAGGCAAAAAUCACUGAAAAGGUUUGACCUAAACUGAGGUAAAAGCCAGAUUGCAAAAAGUAACUCUCAUUUUCAUAUUCAAACAAAUAUUUGCCCUUUUUAUUUUUAUGGCCAAUUUUGUCCCCAACCCCACUGAAAAAAAAACCCUGCAAAUUUUGUAUGUCGGGCUUGCCAUUAAAAUCCUAUGCAUUAAAUUGACUAAUCUAGAUUCUUAUAAAACGAAGCAAAUUAAUUUCUAAAUUUAUUACAUUAAAACGAAUUGUGGUUAUUGUUAAAAUAGUUUUAAAACAACUUAAAGUUUACUUUAAAAAGAAAUAUUGCAAGGCCCAAAAAAAAAAAAAA